rnacentral:rRNA from 1 species
ACGAACGCUGGCGGCGUGCUUAACACAUGCAAGUCGAACGGGAUUUAGUAAACGGAAGCCUCGGUGGAAGAUUACUAAUGAGAGUGGCGAACGGGUGAGUAACGCGUGAGCAACCUGCCUAUGACAGUGGGAUAGCCUCGGGAAACCGGGAUUAAUACCGCAUAAAAUCGUAGAAACAAAUGUUUCAACGGUCAAAGAUUUAUCGGUCAUAGAUGGGCUCGCGUCUGAUUAGCUAGUUGGUGAGAUAACAGCCCACCAAGGCGACGAUCAGUAGCCGGUCUGAGAGGAUGAACGGCCACAUUGGAACUGAGACACGGUCCAAACUCCUACGGGAGGCAGCAGUGGGGAAUAUUGCACAAUGGGGGAAACCCUGAUGCAGCGACGCCGCGUGAACGAAGAAGGUAUUCGUAUCGUAAAGUUCUGUCCUAUGGGAAGAUAAUGACAGUACCAUAGAAGAAAGCUCCGGCUAAAUACGUG